AAGCAGAGCCACCAAAAGUCAAGCGGCCUAGAGGAAGACCAAGAAAAUGGCCUCAACGGACACAACAGGAGGAACCAGAAGCAACUCAGCAGGAGGAGCCUGGAGAGGGAGCAGAGGCACCAUCAACUUCAGGAGGCAACUGAACACCUCACAGUAAUAUUC